AGGGGGAUUGCUGGGUCAUAUGGUAACAUGAUAUUUAACUUUUUGAGUAAUUGCUAGACUGUUUUCCAGAGUGGCUGCACUGUUUUACGUUCCCACCAGCAAU
rnacentral:pre_miRNA from 1 species